rnacentral:rRNA from 1 species
GACGUAGGGUGCAAGCGUUGUCCGGAUUUACUGGGCGUAAAGAGCGCGUAGGCGGUCUUGUAAGUGUGAAGUGAAAUCUCCAGGGCUCAACCCGGAAACUGCUUUGCAUACUGCGAGACUAGAGGGAUGCAGAAGUUUGUGGAAUUCCUGGUGUAGCGGUGGAAUGCGCAGAUAUCAGGAAGAACACCCGUGGCGAAGGCGGCUCUCUGGAACGCAACUGACGCUGAGACGCGAAAGCGUGGGGAGCAAACAGG